AGUGAACGCUGGCGGUAGGCCUAACACAUGCAAGUCGAGCGGCAGCACAGUAAGAGCUUGCUCUUACGGGUGGCGAGUGGCGGACGGGUGAGGAAUACAUCGGAAUCUACUUUUUCGUGGGGGAUAACGUAGGGAAACUUACGCUAAUACCGCAUACGACCUACGGGUGAAAGCAGGGGAUCUUCGGACCUUGCGCGAUUGAAUGAGCCGAUGUCGGAUUAGCUAGUUGGCGGGGUAAAGGCCCACCAAGGCGACGAUCCGUAGCUGGUCUGAGAGGAUGAUCAGCCACACUGGAACUGAGACACGGUCCAGACUCCUAAGGGAGGCAGCAGUGGGGAAUAUUGGACAAUGGGCGCAAGCAUGAUCCAGCCAUACCGCGUGGGUGAAGAAGGCGUUCGGGUUGUAAAGACCUUUUGUUGGGAAAGAAAAGCAGCAGGUUAAGACCCCGCUGUUCUGACGGUACCCAAAGAAUAAGCACCGGCUAACUUCGUG
rnacentral:rRNA from 1 species